AACAUUUAUAAUUCUUAAUUCUAUAAGGUUGAAUAAAAAUUCGAUUGACAUUUGAUAUAAUUGCUAUGCUUAGUGUGUGACUCGUUGGUUUUUUAGGGUUAGGAUUAAAAAAGACCAGCCCACAUAGUAUGAACUAAAAACUAUAGAACUAAUAACCAACCCAUCGCAUUAUCUGGAUCUAAAGAACUAGUCAAGAUAUGUUAUAUAGGUCAUAUCUUUGUAGCAACUGAAAUCUUUUGC
rnacentral:lncRNA from 1 species